GAUGAACGCUGGCGGCGUGCCUAAUACAUGCAAGUCGAGCGAACGGACGAGAAGCUUGCUUCUCUGAUGUUAGCGGCGGACGGGUGAGUAACACGUGGAUAACCUACCUAUAAGACUGGGAUAACUUCGGGAAACCGGAGCUACUACCGGAUAAUAUUUUGAACCGCAUGGUUCAAAAGUGAAAGACGGUCUUGCUGUCACUUAUAGAUGGAUCAGCGCUGCAUUAGCUAGUUGGUAAGGUAACGGCUUACCAAGGCAACGAUGCAUAGCCGACCUGAGAGGGUGAUCGGCCACACUGGAACUGAGACACGGUCCAGACUCCUACGGGAGGCAGCAGUAGGGAAUCUUCCGCAAUGGGCGAAAGCCUGACGGAGCAACGCCGCGUGAGUGAUGAAGGUCUUCGGAUCGUAAAACUCUGUUAUUAGGGAAGAACAUAUGUGUAAGUAACUGUGCACAUCUUGACGGUACCUAAUCAGAAAGCCACGGCUAACUACGUG
rnacentral:rRNA from 1 species